GGGAGGUUAGUUUAUGCGUUGAUUAUUAAGAAUACUGCUUUUGUAAUGCAGAGGAGUUGAUUUGAGACACUUCCCA
rnacentral:tRNA from 1 species